rnacentral:rRNA from 1 species
GGUUUUUUGGAAUUAAUGAAAAAUCGGACCUGCUCUAUGAUGUUUUGAAUGGCCGCAGUAUAUUGACUGUGCUAAGGUAGCAUAAUAAUUAGUCUUUUGAUUAGAGACUGGAAUGAAGGGUUUGUCAAGGGGAUAGCUGUCUUAGGGUUAGAGGAUUAAAAUUGAUUUAAGUGUGAGAAGGCACUUAUUGUACUAAGGGACGAGAAGACCCUAUUGAGUUUUACGUAUGUUAAGAUAUAUUUUGCUUGGUGAUUGGUUAAAUAUCAAAAAUAUAUGUUUUACUGGGGCGGUAGAGAAAGAGGAAAUCUUUUUAGAAAGUUGAGAUUAGGACUUUAAGAGAAAAUAAUGAUCCAAUUAGUUGGGAUUGAUAAUAGGAUUAAAUUACCAUAGGGAUAACAGCGUAAAGUUAUUGGAGAGUUCAUAUUGAUGAUAGUCUUUGCGACCUCGAUGUUGAAUUAGGGUGGCUGUUUGGUGAAGGAGCUUUAUAAGGGAGUCUGUUCGACUAAUGAUACCCUACA